rnacentral:rRNA from 1 species
GACGUAGGGCGCGAGCGUUGUCCGGAUUCUUGAUGGCUAAAGAGCUCGUAGGCGGUUUGUCGCGUCUGCUGUGAAAACCCGAGGCUCAACCUCGGGCCUGCAGUGGGUACGGGCAGACUAGAGUGCGGUAGGGGAGAUUGGAAUUCCUGGUGUAGCGGUGGAAUGCGCAGAUAUCAGGAGGAACACCAAUGGCGAAGGCAGAUCUCUGGGCCGUAACUGACGCUGAGGAGCGAAAGCAUGGGGAGCGAACAGG